rnacentral:rRNA from 1 species
CAUACGGGAGGCAGCAGUGGGGAAUUUUGGACAAUGGGCGCAAGCGUGAUCCAGCCAUGCCGCGUGCGGGAAGAAGGCUUUCGGGUUGUAAACCGCUUUUGUCAGGGAAGAAAUCUCCUGGGGUAAUACCUCGGGGGAUGACGGUACCUGAAGAAUAAGCACCGGCUAACUACGUGCCAGCAGCCGCGGUAAUACGUAGGGUGCAAGCGUUAAUCGGAAUUACUGGGCGUAAAGCGUGCGCAGGCGGUUAUGUAAGACAGAUGUGAAAUCCCCGGGCUUAACCUGGGAACUGCGUUUGUGACUGCAUAACUCGAGUGUGGCAGAGGGGGGUGGAAUUUCACGUGUAGCAGUGAAAUGCGUAGAGAUGUGGAGGAACACCGAUGGCGAAGGCAGCCCCCUGGGUUAACACUGACGCUCAUGCACGAAAGCGUGGGGAGCAAACAGGAUUAGAUACCCCAGUAGU